UACGUAGGGGGCUAGCGUUGUCCGGAAUCAUUGGGCGUAAAGAGCGUGUAGGCGGUCCGGUAAGUCCGCUGUGAAAGUCGGGGGCUCAACCCUCGAAUGCCGGUGGAUACUGUCGGGCUAGAGUGCGGAAGAGGCGAGUGGAAUUCCUGGUGUAGCGGUGAAAUGCGCAGAUAUCAGGAGGAACACCGGUGGCGAAGGCGCUGCUCUGGGCCGGUACUGACGCUGAGGAGCGAAAGCGUGGGUAGCAAACAGG
rnacentral:rRNA from 1 species